UACGUAUUUCUUCCGUUCGGAAUUACUUGUCAUACAAAUAAAUGUAUCUAGACGUAUUUUAGUUCUAGAUAUAUUCAUUCCAAGACAAGUAAUUUCGAACGGAGGGAGUACGUG
rnacentral:pre_miRNA from 1 species